GAAAGACCAAAGUAACGCAACGGUGGAUAUUUUAGUUUUACCUAGCAAUCAGUAGCGACAAACGAGAAGGUGCUAUGAGUUAUGAAUACGCCUCACGCCAAGGCAUCUUUGCUAUGGUUCUAUGUGCGAUAAUAUCACCUAUAUGCAUAAAUCCAACAGUAGAUGUACACUUUUGCAAUAUUUCUUGACUGUAUUCUGUACAUCACCAAGCAUAGCACUCCAUGCAGGGUCCCAAACAACCAACGCACAUGCCUGAGGCUGGCCACGCUCCUUGGACACAUCAACAACGUCUACAUAUGUCUUUAGCAAAGCUGCUGAUGAAACAAUUCCUUUUUAGAAAGACAACACUGCUUUGCACGUGCUAACACCAACAGAGGCAUCCUGAUAUAGGAAGAUGCAAACUUGUAUAAAGAACUUCUUUCUUCCCAAUAAACAGCAACAGGGGGAAACACCCAUCUAUAAAAAUAGGUCUACUAAAUCAAUAGAAAUUACUUGUUGAAAAACCCUAAAACAACUACACUCUACAGUUGUCAGAAUAUCAUCUAUAUGAAGCCAAAGAAUGAGCUGGACAGACCAUGGUAAACAAGGCAUGAAAUAAACGCAGCCCACUUUCUAAUAGCAAAAAACUAACGUUUCACGGUUCAAAUCAGGAAAAUCAAAUCAAAUUGAAGCCAUAAUAAUCAAUGGUAUCUCAUAAUCCUUUUUUUGCUGAAAAUCCUAAAAAAACAAAGCACGCAUCUGAAUUGGAUGAUAGGAUGGAUGGACUCACAAACUAAUACUGACCAGCAUCCCUUGCACAGUGCACGUAGCGGCCGCCAUGUAUCCCUGCGCACCCGAGUCAUUUACCUAUACAACAACAACACUAAAAGAGAACUGCAGAAAUCACAAACCACCAAGCCGGCAGAAGAAGGACGAAGGAAACACAAACCCACCAUCAGACGCACCCCACAACAUCCCUCCCAAGAAACCGAUGCAGAGGAAGAAGAAACCGGCAGCAGCAGAUCCGCCCCACCCCCGGCGAAGAGGCAGGCAUCGGACCUCCUCCCUCCGAAGAGGCAGGCACCGAACACGCAGCCGAAGACCACCAAACACCCCGCUCACCAAAAACACCGCCGCCGCCAAAUUCAAAGGAGAAAAGGAAGGACGACGACCCUCGUAGCAGUAAAAGAAAAAAAACAUCACCUACACGCGGGCGCGUACACAAGCACCACGAAUACACACAAGCCAACCGAUAGAGCGAGACCAACAAGCCAGCGACAAAUACACUUACAAAAAGAACCCACCCCGCAAGCCACACACCUCGGUCAACCAGGAGCCUCCCCAUCAGUGGAGCUUAGAGUUUUCACCAACAGAUGCAUCCUGAUAUAGGAAGAUGCAAACUUGUAUAAAGAUAUUGCUUUCUUCCCAAUAAACAGCAACAUGAGGAAACACCCGUCUAUAAAAAUAGGUCUACUAAAUCAAUAAAAAUUACUUGUUGAAAAAUCCUAAAACAACCACACUACUGUUAUCAGAAUAUCAUCUAUCUGAAGCCAAAGAAUGAGCUGGACAGACCAUGGUAAACAAGGCAUGAAAUAAACGCAGCCCACUUUCUAAUAGCAAAAAACUAACCUUUCACGGUUCAAAUCAGGAAAAUCAAAUCAAAUUGAAGCCAUAAUAAUCAACAGUAUCUCAUAAUCCUUUUUUUUGCUGAAAAUCCUAAAAAACCAAAGCACGCAUCUGAAUUGGAUGAUAGGAUGAAUGGACUCACAAACUAAUACUGACCAUCAUCCCUUGCACAGGGCACAUAGCGGCCGCCAUGUAUCCCUGCGCACCCGAGUCAUUUACAUGUACAACAACAGCACUAAAAGAGAACUGCAAAAAUCACAAACCACCAAGCCGACAGAAGAAGGAUGAAGGAAACGCAAACCCACCAUCAGUCACACCCCACAACAUCCCUCCCAAGAAACGAUGCAGAGGUAGAAGAAACUGAUAGCAGCAGAUCCGGCCCCACCCCUGGCGAAGAGGCGGGCAUCGGACCUCCUCCCUCCGAAGAGGCAGGCACCGAACACGCAGCCGAAGACCACCAAACACCCCGCUCACCAAAAACAC
rnacentral:lncRNA from 1 species